rnacentral:lncRNA from 1 species
UUGUGAGACUGUAACUAUCUAGUCUAUCAGAGACUUGAGAAGGAAUAUUACCUGACUAUGAAGUGCUAGCAAGCAGCUUCCAAAACUACAGACUGAGUUUUAUAAUGACACAGUUGGCUGCCUAGACAGUCCCCUAAAAGUUCUCUACAACAAUGGAGCCAGAACAUCUGACAGACUUUAAUGGGAAACAGGAAUUAUACAGGUGUUUGUCCCUGCAAAGCUCAGGAGUUGUCUUCCCUAGGGAUCCAUGUUUGUCCCUUUUGGACAGCAUUCUGUCUGCAACUGAAGCAAGGGCAGUUCCUGCCCAGUGGUAGCUUGCCACAUUUGAAGAAAACUCCACAGGGAGAUUCUCUGGUGCUCAUCAUCUUCUUUGAAGUCGAAUGUGGGUGCUGUCAGGAGCUGAUAGGUCUCAUGGUCAAAAAAAAUCGUUAAAAUAAUAAAACAUUAAAUAUCAUAAUCUAUAGGUCUCUGAGGAUUUUGAAACUAUCUAUUUAUCUGUCGCCCUUCUGUUCACCCGUCUAUCUAUCUGUCUGUCUGUCUGUCUGCCUGCCUGCCUGCCUGUCUGUCUGUCUAUAUAGCACGCCUGAUCUGAAUAGGCAAACUACUUGUUUUUUUGUUUGUUUGUUUGUUUGUUUGUUUUUUGUUUGUUUUUUAGCUAUUUUCUAUCUGUUCAACCUAAAAGCAUAUUUUGUGAUAAAAUAAUCUAGUAUCUAAUAUGGCUAUGAGUUUGAUUAUUAUCUUGUAUUACUUAAUUAUCUUAAACAGUUUGUAAUUGUAGCUUUAAAAAGAACCAAAACUUUACAUUGCACUUUUAAAUGAGUUGCACAGGUCCCAUACCUUAUCCAAGAGUUGAAACAUACAUACAAUAUGUUGUAACACAAAUAACCUUUGUUUUAUAUCAAAUAAGGUCUAUACCAAUGUAAGAUAAUUGGCUAUAAAGUUUUCUUUGCUUUAAGAGUAGAUUAAAUAAUCUACCCCUUUUUCCUAUUAUUCCUAUAUACUCCCCUCUUUUCAACCUUUCUCCCCCUAUAUAAAACACAAAGACGGAUAUAGAAAAGAAAAGUAAAGAGAGAAAUCUCUGAGUCUAACUUUCUGUAUCUUUUCUCCCUGAUCAAGACAACCAACCCUGCUAAAUAACAACAAUCACCCAUAAUGCAUAAAACAGUGACAAAGCCAUCCAUGCUGCCUUUGGGAAAUGGGAUGCUGUUCACUUCAAAUUGCUACCUGCUCAUUUUGGACAUAGUUUUGCUUCUGGGGGCCCAAAGGAAAUUGGGAAAAUGGUUAAGUCUUAGUAAAGCCAGCUGCAACAUUUGUUGUCCAGUCAUGUGCUGUGAAAAUGCAGGCUUAAGUCAAGUGCUGAUUAGAACAGUCUGAGGCCGGACCAGGUGAGCUAGCUGCUCUGAAGUUGUCCUAGAAGCAAGUUUUGAUAAAACAACAAUCAAGGCAGCUGCAAGACUGGGUCAUCUGGGCUACUUGUCUUGCUUUCAUUGCUGUCUGGUGCUUUUGCACUAAUAACACAGUCUCACAAUUAAUAUACAUUUCUGCAUUAACAUGUAUAGCUUGUUCUGUAUACACAAAUCAGUUAAAGGUGAUUCUCUGCUCAAAGAGCGGUGACAUCUGUAUAACCAAACUACAGUACAAAUCUCCAUGU